rnacentral:rRNA from 1 species
AUUGAACGCUGGCGGCAUGCCUAAUACAUGCAAGUCGAGCGAGCGGCAGACGGGUGUGUAAUGUCUGGGACACUGCCCGAUGGAGGGGGUAAAUUUCUGGAAACGUUAGCUAAUACCCCAUACCUUCGGAUGUGCCCAGAUGGGAUUUGCUAGUAGGUGGGGUAAAGGCUCACCUAGGCGACGAUCCCUAGCUGGUCUGAGAGGAUGACCGGCAACACUGGAACUGAGACACGGUCCAGACUCCUACGGGAGGCAGCAGUGGGGAAUAUUGCACAAUGGGCGCAAGCCUGAUGCAGCAAUGCGGCGUGUGUGAAGAGGGCCUUGGGGUUGUAAGGCACGUUCAGCGAGGAGGCGUUACCCGCAGAAGAAGCACCGGCUAACUCCGUGCCAGCAGCCGCGGUAAUUC